rnacentral:rRNA from 1 species
UACAGAGGUCUCAAGCGUUGUUCGGAAUCACUGGGCGUAAAGGGUGCGUAGGCGGUUCGUCGCGUCGGCUGUGAAAACCUGAGGCUCAACCUCAGGCCUGCAGUCGAUACGGGCGGACUUGAGUACUGCAGGGGAGACUGGAAUUCCUGGUGUAGCGGUGAAAUGCGCAGAUAUCAGGAGGAACACCGGUGGCGAAGGCGGGUCUCUGGGCAGUAACUGACGCUGAGGAGCGAAAGCGUGGGGAGCGAACAGG